rnacentral:sRNA from 1 species
UCCUAAUGACAAACACUCCACUUUUUAGUCCAUACACACUGCUCCUACUUAACGCUCCCGAUGGCUGAAGCGCCCCUGAGAAGUCUGCAUUUUGCCUGCUAUGAAGCAUGCGCAGAUCACUGAGAUGGCCAAUUUCAAAGAACAGAAUUUUCUACAAGGAGACCCCAUGCGCAGGAAGUUCCCAGGCAUCUUACAAGAAUAUCCAGGAGCCCUCCCUGGGAUGCUUUCCCUGGCCUCAGAUGUGGACAGCCUUCUACCAACCCCAAUCUUCCCAUGGCCCCGCACCAUGUGUCUAGAAAACAAAAAGCGUGUUCUCAUCUCAAGCCUGGGGAUGCAUUUCUAACAAUCUCCUGCACAAAAUAUGCCCCUGCCAUCCAUAGUUUAGGUGGCGAGAUGAAGCUUUUCUUCUCACCUGUGUGCUUCAACAGAAACUGUGACCAACUUUUCAUCUCUGGAUCCCAGCACUGACCAUGGAGCCAACAAUGCCGCCACUCAGAGUACUUUUGAUUGACAGUUGGUGAGUCUGCAGAUGCAGGACAUGGGACACAGAGAGCGUCGGAGUGCUCAUUAGAAGAUAAACUUCAUGUUGUGGAGGUGACCCGUGUGAGCAUUGGAAGGACUGUAGCUCAGACUCGCUUUGAGAUGUCACGAAACUUGCAGACAUCCCCUUUUUUGCUUUUUAAGGAUUUUUUAAUUUUGUGUGUAUGUAUGUGUUCGUGUACAAGUGUGCGUGAGUGCUCUCGGGGGGCUGGAAGAGCGUGUCAGAUCCUGCUAGAGUUGCAGGCAGUUGUGAGUCAUCUGACUAGGGUGCUGGGACUCAAACUCCAGUCCUGUGCAAGGACAGCCAGCUCUCUUACUGACUGAGCUCUUUCCACACCUUAGACAGGGAAACAGAUCCCAAAGAAACCAGCCGGCCUGCUGGGGCCUCACAAGCAGAGAGAACAACUAAACUAGAGUCAGAAGUCAGUCCUUGCUUGUGGGAAGGCUUUCAACUUAGCCUUAAGGACCAGACCCUUCCUGUAAAUGUCCAAUGUCUUUGUGAAAACUCUUUUCCCCUCACUGCUGGGGCUGGAGCCCAGUGCUUGCCAUGCUGGGUAGGUAACCGCUCGACCACUGAUGUCCAACUCCAGCCUGAAGUGGCGCCAUUUUUAUUGUUCCAAGUGUAUCAUCUCUAUUUUCUUUGAAGGCCAGCCAUUCCUUCUCGUUUCUCUUGCCUGGUGUCCUGUGGGUUUUAGUCAUAGGCAGUGGGAUUCUUACUUCUCACCCUCAGACCUGAUAGCAACUUGAAACUCCCUUUUCCAUUUACCUGUCUCUGUUACGCAGACCAUGAGACUCCCAGGCAGGCCCCGUGUCCUCCGCAGUGCACAGGGCACAGUCUUAGGCGGGUCAGCCUCAGCCCGUCGGGACCAGGAGAGCCUUUGGCAUUUGUGUAGCGUACACGUUUGCAUCCAGGCUGCCCCAGCAGUCACAGCAGGCUUAGCUCAUCGAGUGCUCUCGGACUGUGACCCAAGGGUGACUUUACUGGGCCCUGCUCUUCCUCCCACUAUGACUCACAUAUGUCAUAAAUUGUUGCUGCUCUCCAAGAGCCAGUGAGGCUAUACUGGCCUCAGAAAUGGCAAAGAAAAGCAACAAUUCAUCAAAACAAAAGCCACCGUGCGGUCGUCACCCACUCCUAACAGAAGUGUUCAGAUCUUAAUGAUCGAAAACCGCGGACAGUUACACCCCUUUAUCCCGUCCACAAGCACUGCAGGCAUUUCUGCUGGGGCUUAUGCCUUGAUUUACACACCGGGGGGUGACCAGAGCCGGGAUUUACAGUUAAGUCCUCCAGCAUCUCUUGUAUCCUGGUUCCCUCUCUGCAAUAAAGAGUGUGGCAUUGA